rnacentral:lncRNA from 1 species
GUACAAGCUUGGAGUAGACACCGACAGGCCGGGCUUCCUCCACUCUACACCUCCACUCUAUCUCUCUCAAUCUAGUAGAAACUAGAAGAUCUAUUUCUACCUAACAUUGAUUGCUAAGCCUAAAAAGAAAUAUUAAUUAGAGAAGAGGUUUUCCUUCGAGGGCACCCCUCAGUCUCUAUGAUAAUUUCUUCAUGUCUUCUCCAGGGGCCAGGGGGGCCUUGCUUAUAUAGUCCUCCCCUUCUAUGCGUUUUUGGGUCGAUAGGUGAGGUGGUACUAUGUUUUUAUUGAUCCAAUAGGUCGGUGGAAUAUCCCGAGCGAAGAGAGUCCUGAUCUGGCUCCAGAGGGGGGCGGGCGCCCAGGCUACCAGGGCGGGCGCCCUGGGCCUGGCCCCGUUUCGCCUCCGCUUCGGUCUCGUGGCUUCUGGAGUCUUCUAGAUGAUGUAAAAUCGUGCGAUGCGUUGUAAUCUCUAUGUAAUCCUGACAUGUGGGCCUUUCUUCCUUAUUUCCUGAUAACCCCCUGCGGAAACAGAUAAACAACAAAACUCGUGGAAUUCUGUCAGAUCAAACCCUAAUUCUAGGUGUUGGUUGCAUAUUGGUCCUUUCUCUUGUUUAUUUGAUAAUUAAAAUUGAUACUUAAGAACCGUCAACAAAUACCCCCAUACUUAGGCUUUUACUCGUCCUCGAGAAAAGGAUGGUUAAGAUCAAUAUCUGGGGUAAACAUUUAAAACAUUCUCUAUAUUUGCAGGGUGUUAAAAAAAAUCCACUAUGUACUGUAGUCAGGGAAGUUUAUGGUUAAGAGUAAAGAUCCUUUCUUCUCAAUCCUAUCACUUGGAGUUUUUGUAUAUUUUUGAAAGAAAGUUAGCAUACCUUUUUGAUCCUCAUAGGUUCUCUCAGAUCACUCAUUAUCUUUUAUAUAUAUCUCACUGAGGCUGUUUUAUUUUGCAAAAAUUCUUAAGCAUUCUUACUUUGCAUUUAUUGCCUGAUCAAAACGGGAUCCGAGGAGGGGAAUGUCAUACUCUUAGAUCAAAGACUUUGGAAAUUAAAAACUUUGUCAACUCUUGCUAGCAUAUUGCUUAUUAGAGGGACCAUGGGCUAUCAUUUUUUUUCUCUUCUUUUUUUUUUCCUUUUUUUAAGUGGAUACCAAGGUACCUCUAAUUCUACUGCCGGACACUUGUCCAUUUUUUCUGCGAGGUUGUCGAGCACUUGCUCCUUUUUAUUUCCUCGAAAUAUUUCUAUUUUUGCAUAGCCCAUGCCUCUAAUGCAAUAAUACUUCGGAAGAGUGAAUCUUACUGAAUUAAUGUCUUGAUCUUAGGAGCAUGAUAAAUCUCUCAACAAGGGUCUAACUCAUUUUGAACAAACUCAAUACAGAGAAGAUAGCUUUUAUAGUCAUAAUUAAUAAUUUCAGUUUUAUUAGGCAUAUAAAACACUGAGGAUGGUAGCUAGAAAUUUGAAUAUUUUGAAAUAAAUUCUCCAAGUAACAAUGAUAUCAAGAAUAAGAAACUCAUACUCUACCAUCACAUAUUCCAUAUUGACUUAAGUAACACAGGGUUUUAAAAUGAUUUUAUAAUAAUUGCAAGUUUUUAGGAAAUAUCAUAGAUUGAGAUUAAUCAUGAUUAGAAAUAUUUUAAUCCUUUUGUUUUAUCAUGUCGGAAACAGUAAUCUGCAUAAUCCAGAAUAAAUGUAUGUGUAAAGUAAAGUGUGCAGAGUGUGUACCUGAAUGGUGGAGUUGGAGUGUGUUUGGCAUGUCGAGGGAUCUCCCCCAUACUUGUUUUCUGCUUUCUUGCACAAAAAUAAAGUAGGGACACACAAGACAUAAUAAUAAUACUCUUUAUUAAUCUUGAGGCAUUUAUUACAAAAGACUAGUAGCAAACUGAUAAUAAUAGUAAACCUAAACCGAAUUUAAAGAUAGAUAACUAAAAUGCAUUGCCUCAAGGUCUAAUCUAGAUAACUUAGCGGCGCUCUAAUUCUUUAAUCUUCUUGUUGGCACUGGCAAGAUCCUGCCUAAGGCCUAGUAUAAUGGUGUUGUGGUUAGAGAGCUGCCUAGUGAGGGAAUUAAUCGAAGACUGGAGGUCUAUGAUAACUCUAUCUAGCCUGCGAACUUCCUCAUCAAUAUCCAUUAUAGUCUUGCGACGCUUGGGAGGUGUCUCAAAAGCAUUGAGAGAGUGCUUCGGGGCUGCCUUUGGAGGGAUGAAACAGACUUUGGCUGCUCUAAUCCCUUCAAAGUAAGGCCUUUCCUCCUCCGUAGUGUAGCGUGAAAGGAUCAAGAUGCCCAAGAGGGGGGGGGGUGAAUUGGGCUUCUCUAAAAAAUUUAAGCAACCUAUAAGCUCCAAUUCAACCCCUUGUGCCUAGUGUGACUUAGAGAGCUACCGGACAAAAGUUUUGCAACCUAGUUCCAAUCCUAUUCUAGCAUGGCAAUUCUAAGAAUGUAAAAGCACAAAGUAAAUGCUAGAAAGUAAAGGAGUAGUGGAAGAAAGUGCUCGGCGAUGUUUU